GGUAAUGUGGUUCAGUGGUAGAGUGCUUGCCUAGCAUGCACGAAGUUCUGGGUUUGAUUCCUCAUUACCA
rnacentral:tRNA from 1 species